rnacentral:rRNA from 1 species
AGAGUUUGAUCCUGGCUCAGGAUGAACGCUAGCGACAGGCUUAACACAUGCAAGUCGAGGGGCAGCGGAGGUAAAGGCUUGCCUUUACCUGCCGGCGACCGGCGCACGGGUGAGUAACACGUAUGCAACCUGGCCGUCACAGGAGGAUAACCGGGAGAAAUUCCGCCUAAUACUCCAUAACACCUGGGGAGGACAUCCUCCUCAGGUCAAAGGAAUUCGUUCCGGUGACGGAUGGGCAUGCGGCGCAUUAGCUAGUCGGCGGGGUAACGGCCCACCGAGGCGACGAUGCGUAGGGGUUCUGAGAGGAAGGUCCCCCACAUUGGAACUGAGACACGGUCCAAACUCCUACGGGAGGCAGCAGUGAGGAAUAUUGGUCAAUGGGCGGAAGCCUGAACCAGCCAAGUCGCGUGAGGGAAUAAGGCCCUAAGGGUCGUAAACCUCUUUUGCCGGGGAGCAAUGGUUCGCUUGCGAGCGGACAGGGAGAGUACCCGGAGAAAAAGCAUCGGCUAACUCCGUGCCAGCAGCCGCGGUAAUACGGAGGAUGCGAGCGUUAUCCGGAUUUAUUGGGUUUAAAGGGUGCGUAGGCGGACCAUCAAGUCAGCGGUCAAAAGUCGGGGCUCAACCCCGUAAAGCCGUUGAAACUGGCGGUCUUGAGUGAGCGAGAAGCAGGCGGAAUGCGUGGUGUAGCGGUGAAAUGCAUAGAUAUCACGCAGAACCCCGAUUGCGAAGGCAGCCUGCCGGCGCUCAACUGACGCUGAGGCACGAAAGUGCGGGGAUCGAACAGGAUUAGAUACCCUGGUAGUCCGCACAGUAAACGAUGAAUGCUAGCUGUCCGGUCCGAAUGAGGACUGGGUGGCACAGCGAAAGCGUUAAGCAUUCCACCUGGGGAGUACGCCGGCAACGGUGAAACUCAAAGGAAUUGACGGGGGCCCG